rnacentral:rRNA from 1 species
GACGAACGCCGGCGGCGUACCUAAUACAUGCAAGUAGUACGCUGAAGGAGGAGCUUGCUUCUCCGGAUGAGUUGCGAACGGGUGAGUAACGCGUAGGUAACCUGCCUGGUAGCGGGGGAUAACUAUUGGAAACGAUAGCUAAUACCGCAUAAGAGUAGAUGUUGCAUGACAUUUGCUUAAAAGGUGCAAUUGCAUCACUACCAGAUGGACCUGCGUUGUAUUAGCUAGUUGGUGGGGUAACGGCUCACCAAGGCGACGAUACAUAGCCGACCUGAGAGGGUGAUCGGCCACACUGGGACUGAGACACGGCCCAGACUCCUACGGGAGGCAGCAGUAGGAAAUCUUCGGCAAUGGACGGAAGUCUGACCGAGCAACGCCGCGUGAGUGAAGAAGGUUUUCGGAUCGUAAAGCUCUGUUGUAAGAGAAGAACGAGUGUGAGAGUGGAAAGUUCACACUGUGACGGUAUCUUACCAGAAAGGGACGGCUAACUACGUGCCAGCAGCCGCGGUAA